AGUCGAACGAAGACCCGGAGCUUGCUCCGGAAUUCUUAGUGGCGAACGGGUGAGUAACGCGUGGGAAUCUACCUAGAAAUGGGGAAUAACUAUUGGAAACGAUAGCUAAUACCGCAUAAUCCCUUCGGGGCAAAGGCUUCGGCCGUUUUUAGAUGAGCCCGCGUUAGAUUAGGCUGUUGGUGAGGUAAUGGCUCACCAAACCUACGAUCUAUAGCUGGUCUGAGGGGAUGAUCAGCCACACUGGGACUGAGACACGGCCCAGACUCCUACGGGAGGCAGCAGUGGGGAAUAUUGGACAAUGGGGGAAACCCUGAUCCAGCAAUGCCGCGUGAGUGACGAAGGCCUUAGGGUUGUAAAGCUCUUUCAGAAGUGAAGAUGAUGACGGUAACUUCAGAAGAAGCUCCGGCUAACUCCGUGCCAGCAGCCGCGGUAAUACGGAGGGAGCUAGCGUUGUUCGGAAUUACUGGGCGUAAAGAGCGUGUAGGCUGUUAGGUAAGUCAGAGGUGAAAUCCCUAAGCUCAACUUAGGAACUGCCUUUGAUACUAUCUUACUAGAGAUCGAGAGAAGUUGGCGGAAUUCCAAGUGUAGAGGUGAAAUUCGUAGAUAUUUGGAAGAACACCAGUGGCGAAAGCGGCCAACUGGCUCGUUUCUGACGCUAAGACGCGAAAGCGUGGGUAGCAAACAGGAUUAGAUACCCUGGUAGUCCACGCCGUAAACGAUGAGUGCUAGCCGUUUGUGAUUUAUCACAAGUGGUGCAGCUAACGCGUUAAGCACUCCGCCUGGGGAGUACGAUCGCAGAUUAAAACUCAAAGG
rnacentral:rRNA from 1 species